AGUGAACGCUGGCGGUAGGCCUAACACAUGCAAGUCGAACGGCAGCACAGUAAGAGCUUGCUCUUACGGGUGGCGAGUGGCGGACGGGUGAGGAAUACAUCGGAAUCUACUUUUUCGUGGGGGAUAACGUAGGGAAACUUACGCUAAUACCGCAUACGACCUACGGGUGAAAGCAGGGGAUCUUCGGACCUUGCGCGAUUGAAUGAGCCGAUGUCGGAUUAGCUAGUUGGCGGGGUAAAGGCCCACCAAGGCGACGAUCCGUAGCUGGUCUGAGAGGAUGGUCAGCCACACUGGAACUGAGACACGGUCCAGACUCCCACGGGAGGCAGCAGUGGGGAAUAUUGGACAAUGGGCGCAAGCCUGAUCCAGCCAUACCGCGUGGGUGAAGAAGGCCUUCGGGUUGUAAAGCCCUUUUGUUGGGAAAGAAAAGCAGCAGGUUAAUACCCCGCUGUUCUGACGGUACCCAAAGAAUAAGCACCGGCUAACUUCGUG
rnacentral:rRNA from 1 species